CGAUCUGUAGCGGGUCUGAGAGGAUGAUCCGCCACACUGGGACUGAGACACGGCCCAGACUCCUACGGGAGGCAGCAGUGGGGAAUAUUGGACAAUGGGCGAAAGCCUGAUCCAGCCAUGCCGCGUGUGUGAAGAAGGCCUUUUGGUUGUAAAGCACUUUAAGCGAGGAGGAGGCUACUUAGAUUAAUACUCUAGGAUAGUGGACGUUACUCGCAGAAUAAGCACCGGCUAACUCUGUGCCAGCAGCCGCGGUAAUACAGAGGGUGCGAGCGUUAAUCGGAUUUACUGGGCGUAAAGCGUGCGUAGGCGGCUUUUUAAGUCGGAUGUGUAAUCCCUGAGCUUAACUUAGGAAUUGCAUUCGAUACUGGGAAGCUAGAGUAUGGGAGAGGAUGGUAGAAUUCCAGGUGUAGCGGUGAAAUGCGUAGAGAUCUGGAGGAAUACCGAUGGCGAAGGCAGCCAUCUGGCCUAAUACUGACGCUGAGGUACGAAAGCAUGGGGAGCAAACAGGAUUAGAUACCCUGGUAGUCCAUGCCGUAAACGAUGUCUACUAGCCGUUGGGGCCUUUGAGGCUUUAGUGGCGCAGCUAACGCGAUAAGUAGACCGCCUGGGGAGUACGGUCGCAAGACUAAAACUCAAAGGAAUUGACGG
rnacentral:rRNA from 1 species